UACAGAGGGUGCAAGCGUUAAUCGGAGUGACUGGGCGUAAAGGGCGCGUAGGCGGCACUGUUAGUCAGGCGUGAAAGUCCUGGGCUCAACCUGGGAACUGCGCUUGAUACGGCAGAGCUAGAGGAUGGAAGAGGGUCGCGGAAUUCCCAGUGUAGAGGUGAAAUUCGUAGAUAUUGGGAAGAACACCGGUGGCGAAGGCGGCGACCUGGUCCAUUACUGACGCUGAGGCGCGAAAGCUAGGGGAGCAAACGGG
rnacentral:rRNA from 1 species